GAAGAGCAGUUCUGCUGGCUUUGGGCCUUGAUGUGUUGUGGGAUUUUUAAGGAAUCAGAGAGACCAAUGGGGCUCAGGAGGAUAUUUAUUAAUUACUUAGGUGCACCGGCCCAGUCGGAUUAACAUCCAAAGGACUGAGCCCCAAAUGAAGAGUCAAGUUAACUUUUAAGCAUUUUGUGGGUUGGGGGAGAUUUGUGCAGGGGAAAUACUACAGAAGUGAGAAACAAAGACAGUUAUUCAAUUGAAGCAUGCAUUACAUGAUUUCUUACUUUUCUAGGAAAACGUGUUUUGCAACUUGAGUUUAUCUGUCUAGUGACCUUGCAGCUGCACAGCUAGGGAAACUGGGUCUUCACAAUGCCUGGGAAAGGAGGAGAGAUAAGUCUCAACAGCCACAGAAAAACAGGCAGUUAAUUUUAAAGGACUCCAGCUCCUUCUCUUUCUCAGAGGGAAUUGGGUUUUCUUACAUACAACUGAGUUUCUGCUUACACAUUCUUUAAUUUCUUUUAAUUCCUGUUCCAGAUGAAGAAAGAAGGGAUUUCUUUUCCCACACAGAAACACCCCAAGCAGGAACAGAAACAGAUCUUUUGUGCCCACCAAUAUGUGUCUGUCUUGCCCAGCCUGUCAUUGUCCAGGGCUGUGGGUAGUGGAGGAGCCACUGGUUCUUGACUAGUUCUGCAGAAGCCCUGGGUCAAAGGCCUCCGCUGACAGCAUCCAGAAGUGUGUGCUUCUCCAUCCUGGCCACACACUCAAAUCACUGGCGGAAAGGGCAUGGGAGAACACAGUGAGAAGACAGCAGUCUGAGAGCCCGGAAGAGCGCCCUCACCAGAAACCAAAUGUGUCAGCACCUUGCUCAGGGACUUCCAGCCUCCGGAACUGUGAGGAAACAAAAUGUCUGUUUUGGAGCCGCCCAGGCUGUGGGGUUUUGGUAAGGCAGCCUGAGCAGACUAAUGCAACAGCCUCAACAAAACUGCAAUCAAUGAGAAAAUAACAGUGGGCUUGAAGAAAAAAAUGAAUUCCAGUCAAAAUCUCAACAGUUUUAUUUGGGAGGUGAGAUGAGAGAGGAAACAGGUGGGAAAAGAGAGGUAAAAGGCUCGGUUAGUCUUGGGGCUGGAGAAGGUCAAGGUAGUGGACAGAGGCCCCCAGCUGCCGCCGCGGGUUCCGCGACGCUGACCGUGUAUGUGACCCAAGAGACUUCUUCACCAAGGCCAGCACGGCCGGGGACCCGGAUUUCACCUGGGAGAGACAUUAGAGCUGGGGGUGCACAUUCUGCAGAGUAGAGGGACCACUGAGUGGCCCAUCUCUGGAAGCACCCCCGCUUCAGCCUUACAUGCUGGGCUUUCCUCCUGGGGCCUAA
rnacentral:lncRNA from 1 species